rnacentral:rRNA from 1 species
GACGGAGGGUGCUAGCGUUGUUCGGAAUCACUGGGCGUAAAGGGCGCGUAGGCGGCCUUGCAAGUCGGUUGGUGAAAGCCCGGGGCUCAACCCCGGAGGUGCGGCCGAGACUGCAGGGCUGGAGGCCGGAAGAGGAGGGUGGAAUACCCAGUGUAGAGGUGAAAUUCGUAGAUAUUGGGUGGAACACCGGUGGCGAAAGCGGCUCUCUGGUCCGGACCUGACGCUGAGGCGCGGAAGCGUGGGGAGCAAACAGG